GAUAACCUUACAAAUUGUUAUAAAUUCAAUAUUUCUUAAUAACCAUAGAGAUAAUAGAGUAAUUGAAAUGCGGCAAAAUUAAAAUCUGCUCUUAUUAAGAAUCCUUUAAUCAUUUGAACAACCAGAAUGAAUUUAAAAGGACAUAUUGGGUAUUUUUUCAGAUUGAUAUGUAAACCAAGUAUAAAAGAGUUUUUACUUAAGGACCGAUGUUGUGCAAUUGUUGAUAAAUAUAUUUUGGUAGGUGUUUUCAUAUAUUUUUUGAGGGCAAAUUUCGAGGCGAAAGAUUAUACUACUAGGAAUUUUUAUGUCGCGCUAUUUUUGUGCCAUGAGAUACACGAAGAGGUAGAUAUUUUCAAAUACAGAAUAAUUGAAAAAUGCUUGGGUAGCUGCAUUAGAAAAUUAGAAUGUCUUCAAAGGUUUGAAACAGAUAGAAUAGAUUUACUGAAAAAAAUCAACUUUCAUGUUUACUAUAACGAGGAGCAAUGCGAAAUGAUAUUUUCAAGAUUUCCACACGUAGUGUGGUACCGAACCCGAACAGAAGAACAUUCUGGAAUAAUUAUUAAUGAAAAUUCAAAAUGUUUCACAUGUUCUCUACCUAUAGUUGUGUAGGAUUCAUUCAACAUAAUUUAUUUCAAUUAUAUAAAAAAAGAUAUAAGUAA